UGGCAGAGUGGUUUAUUGCGCUUGUCUCAUAAACAAGUAGACGAGUAAUUGUCUCUCGGGUUCGAAUCCCGA
rnacentral:tRNA from 1 species